AGCUACAAAGCUGAACACAGCAAAUCUUGGAAGCUAAGCAGGGUUGGGCCUGCUUAGCACUUGGAUAAGAGACUAUCUGGGAGUACGGGGUGCUG
ensembl:rRNA 5S_rRNA 5S ribosomal RNA